rnacentral:rRNA from 1 species
AUUGUGGUUUAAUUCGAUGCAACGCGAAGAACCUUACCUGGUCUUGACAUCCACGGAAGUUUUCAGAGAUGAGAAUGUGCCUUCGGGAACCGUGAGACAGGUGCUGCAUGGCUGUCGUCAGCUCGUGUUGUGAAAUGUUGGGUUAAGUCCCGCAACGAGCGCAACCCUUACCCUUUGUUGCCAGCGGUCCGGCCGGGAACUCAAAGGAGACUGCCAGUGAUAAACUGGAGGAAGGUGGGAUGACGUCAAGUCAUCAUGGCCCUUACGACCAGGGCUACACACGUGCUACAAUGGCGCAUACAAAGAGAAGCGACCUCGCGAGAGCAAGCGGACCUCAUAAAGUGCGUCGUAGUCCGGAUUGGAGUCUGCAACUCGACUCCAUGAAGUCGGAAUCGCUAGUAAUCGUGGAUCAGAAUGCCACGGUGAAUACGUUCCCGGGCCUU